CCAAGACGCUGUGAGGAUCCAGACGCUGACAUUGGACGCUGAGUGGCAUUUACAAAACUGGAAUUGAUAGUCGACAUCAGGUUGCAUUGAUACAUAGUAGCUAUUGCUGUCCGGAGAGCUUGGACUGGGUAUCGUCCUUUAAGGCAUCCUACUUGAUGAUUGUUACAGGAGCGUCUAGGAUCUCCCUAUCUUGUACUGAGAGCUUAGAGAGUUGGGCAUCUCGCAGGAAAGAAAGACCUUCCUCCGGAUGAUCCUGGUUUUCUUCGUAUAAUUGUUUAAAGUAAGAUUCAAGUUCCGCUUCAAUGGUUUCAGUGUCUCGAGCCCAACCCUCCCCUGUCUUUAGUUUCUUAAUGAAAUGGGACGUGGUGUUAAGCUUGGUUAAUCUAGCUAAAAGCCUGCCUGGUUUGUUUCCCCAUCUAUAAAACCUGUUAUUUGUGUGAGAAAUUUUGUAUUGUGCACUGUCAUGUAUUAAAGUGUUAAAUAAAGCCUUUGCGUCAGUGUAUUUUUUCUUGUCUUCCUCGGAAUUUGUACGU